GCUCCUUUGGCCUAGUGGUUAUGGCGUGGCUCUUAUGUAGUUUUCCGGUUUCCGGACUCUGCAUGGCGACUAGCUGAAGUCCAGGGUUCGACUCCCUGAAGGAGCA